rnacentral:rRNA from 1 species
GACGAACGCUGGCGGCGUGGAUUAGGCAUGCAAGUCGAACGGUAGGAUACCUUCGGGUAUCUGAGAGUGGCGAACGGGUGAGUAACACGUAGGUGAUCUACCCUCAAGAUUGGGACAACCCAGGGAAACUUGGGCUAAUACCGGAUGAAAGCAGCAGUGAUGUUGUUUGAAAGGUGGCGUAAGCUGCCGUUUGGGGAUGAGCCUGCGCUCUAUUAGUUAGUUGGCGGGGUAAAGCCCACAAGGCGAUGAUAGAUAGGCGGCCUUAACGGGUGGUCGCCCACACUGGGAUUGAGAUACGGCCCAGACUCCUACGGGAGGCAGCAGUCGAGAAUAGUCUACAAUGGCCGAAAGGCUGAUAGUGCGACGCCGCGUGAACGAAGAAGCCCUUCGGGGUGUAAAGUUCUUUUAUAUGUGAGCAGUGCUUUCUAUGUGAACAGCAUGGGGAGAGAGAUAUUAGCAUAUGAAUAAGAACGGCUAACUCCGUGCCAGCACG